UUUAUCCGUAGUCAAAAUCAGUGUGUUAAGAACGGCCUAAAUAUCAGUAUGAAACACGUCAGACAGCAUUUGACCCAGUGAUAGGUUGUAUUAACGAACUAGAUCGUUAUAACGACCAUAGAAUUUGCAAAAUACUGACUUCAAUCGAGACUGUUGAAACCCCUGUUCCAUCAACUUGUUUGUCAGUAGCUUGGCCCGAUUUAAAAACUGACUAGACGCAGAACAACCUCUUGCGUAUCGAAUCAGUUGAGAGAUAUAAACACCAUAUCCAGGUGAUAAUGAAAUAUUGCUAUUUAAGUAUGGGAAGUUGACGAUGGAGAAGGUGAAAUAAUCCCGUUUAUCAUACAGUUGAGUUGUCAGUUUGUCAUUAAUGUCUACUUCCAAUAAAAUAUCUAAGUAUGAAGCAGAAGUGGACGACUCUAUGGUGUAUUUUAUUUCGAGCUCACAGGUAUAUAUUGAAUAGACAUAUGAAUGAACAUAUUAUUGUUAAUAGACAAAACAUCGUCGAUAUAUCCCAAUUUCGAAUUGAAGGUCACAGCAAGAGCUUUUUUCUUCUCACGUAGAAGUUUUUGAAUAAAUUCUGCUUCAUAUGAAUAUAGAAACAGGGCAGCUAACAAUAGAGCACAAUUCGUGCCCAUGGGGAUUCCAACAGACUGUUGGAAGACCUGAUCACCAAAGACCACGAAGAUAUUGUCAAUGAGGAACUCUAGCAUAUUUUUUAUUUCAACUUCAGAGUACUUGUGCGUGGAAUCAGAGUGGUGUUUAACAGUUAUUUUUUGGAUGACUGAUCACUAGAUAUGAAUAUUUCCGUUUUCCCCUUUUUUGUUGAAGAAGAAACUGUCUAUGUUAUCAAAAAAUCUCGUCUUUAAUUUAUCGUGUAAAGUGUUGAAAAGUCAUAGGUUUUGAUGUUAUUGAUUUGGGAAAAGUUUUGCGAUUUCAAGUUUACUAAAAGUUCUGUAAAAAAUUUUAGAAUUCACAUUUGAUUAUACCACUUCCGGUAUGUGUAGUCGCACAGUCAGUUUGAAGUUUCUCCUUUAUAGGUGUUAAUAUUUUCGUGAGGAGCAACGUUAGGGGUUUGGUAGAAAAUUUACUAGACCUAGCAAUGUAUUUUUGUUUGCAAGGGUUUUAUGUAGUUUAGGAAUCCAGUAUAGGUACGGUAACUCAUGUUCAUUCGAGCCAUUGACUGGGAUAUUAAAUGUGUCUAAAACUGAAUCAUGGUUUUGAAGAUUUUCAUCUUUUGAAAGGGUAGUUGGAGUAUAAGUAGAACUACCAAAAGCGGUAUUAAUGCCAAGUUCGUUUAAAAUACAGUUUGCAAUAAUGAGCCUUACAAAGACAAUGUUGUUACAAGCUUUGUCAACUCGAACCAAAUCAUACUCCGCAUGUAACCUAUCUAAUUCUUUUAUCACCUCUGGUUUACUAAACACAGAAGGAUAGAUGGUACAUAAUUUUGUUUUAAUAUGUCUAAUGCGGGAUUUUAAUGUUCCUCUUAUGCUUUUAACCUAUUCUGACAAUGUAUCAAGCUCCCUUUUUCAUAUUUAUGCCAUCGUUUGUCAUAAUCUUCGACAGAAUUCAUAAUAUUGAUGAAGAUCUAUCGCCAAUUGAAAGGCCAAGGUUCUUUGUAUUUAGGACCUUUUAGAAUAAAUGAUUUGAGGUCCUCAUUUUCAACUAUAUCAACAUCACCAGUAAUGACAUGUCCAGCUGGACUAUGGUUGAAAGAAGAUGAAGAACAAGAACACGAAUAAGAUGGUCUAUAUCUAGGCAAAUUGAAGUCCAAGCUUAUGGGAACCCAUCUAAAUACCAAAGGUGAAGUCUCCAUGAAGGUGAAGUUACCAAAUAUUCAUUCUUUUUCAAUCGCAUUUGCCGAUAAUCCGAGAUUCCUCUGACUCUUUCCCCUGCUCUUAUAUUGUGAGAUGUGCGGGGGAGAGUCAGAGCGGACUCCAUAUUGAAAAGUGGGAAUUGAGCGACACCCACUGCUGUCGCCGUUUUACCUAUCUCUAACAACUUUAUUUCGCGGAUGUAUCUUCCAAGACGUGAGGAUUCAGUUAUCGGAAGAAUAUUCUACAAACAGACCAUGAUUAAUACGAUCCUAUCGCCGUUUAAACGAUGGAAUGUUGUGUUCAUCGCGUGCUGACGUCAUGCUCAAAGAAGCAGCGACCUAAUUCAAGAGAUGCUUCAUUUGUCGGAGUUUAUCUGACUCUCCCACGGACAUGUCAUGAUAUAAAAGCGGGAGUAAGAGCCAGAGGAAUGUCGGAUUAACUUGCUGAGAACCCUCUAUCUUGAUUAUGUAUACGGGAUAAUUCGUACGCAAAACUAGUAUGAAACGAAUAGCUAUAAAACACUUCUGGGAGCAUUCAUUCGACCCAAUAAUAGGUUAUAUUUGCAAACAAAAUCAUGAUAAUGAUUGGUUAUAUUUGCAAACAAAAUCAUCAACUUAUUUGUCAGUAGCCUGCCUCGGUUAAGAAAUUCAUCAUACGCAGACGAAAAUGUUGCGUAUCGAAUUAGUUGAAAUUGAUUGAUUGUAUCUUCCUUAACUUUUUCACUCACAUGGAGACUUCACCAUUGCCGUUGAAGGGCUUCAAAUCUAGUCCUAUGGCCGGCGCUUACGGCCAUUGAGCAGUGAGGGUUCUUUAGCGUGUCACACUUACUGUGACACGGGAGAUCCGUUUUUAAGUCACCUGAGUAAACUCAGGUGACCUAUUGCAAUUGGUUGUCUUCCGUCGUCGUGUGUUAACAUUUGAACAUUUUUACCUUUUUCUUGAUAACUAGCAGUCCAAUUCUUUUCAAUUUUAGCAUGAAGCAUCAUUUGGACGAGGGGGACAUAGAUUAUGAGUUUCAGGACUGUUGUUCUCCUAGGGGCAGGGCAAGAGCUGCUCAAAUUUACCAAUUUUCAAAAAUCUUCACAAGAACCACACACGUGUAAGAAAAACUAAAUGCAUACUGACGUAGAGCAGGAAAGCCUCUACCACAAUUGUAAAUUUCAUGAUCCCCGGGGUAGGGCUUCUGACCCCAGAGCAGGGCGAAACUUGGUAUAUAAUGUUUGUGUGUAAUACACUGAAAAAACAUCUUCUUUAGUGCUAUUGAUAGUAAAUUGAAAAUAAAUAGAUAUUUAGUAAGUAGUAAUUCACCAAAAUUGUAAAUUUGAUGAUCCCAGGGCUAGGGGUUUUGGUAUCAGAGAGGGGCCAAAAUGGUCACUUAUUAAAUGUGUGAACAAUAGACGUUUUAACUUCUUCUUGAUAGCUAUCAUUCCAAUUGUUUUCAAAUUUGGUAUGAAACAUAUUUGGAACAAGGGGGGGGGGGUAUAAAUUUAAAAUUUCAGGAUUCCUGCACCUUGUGGACUUAGGGCUGGAGCAAAAACUGCCAUGAAAUGACCAAUUUUCAAAAAAUCUUCUUCUAUAGAAUUGCACAUGUUGACAAAAACUAAAUGCAUAGUGAUGUAGAGCAGGAAGGCCUCUACCAAAAUGUUUGUCAGCAGCCUGUGUCAAUUUAAAUAUUGAUUAUACGGAGAACAAGGUCUUGCGUAUCAAAUCUGUAGAGAGGUAUAAACACCAGAUGCAGGUGAUAAUGGAAUAUUGCUACAUAAAGUUGACGAUGAAGAAGCUGAAAUCAUCCCGUUUGUCAUAAAGUUGAGUUGUUAGUUUGCCGUUAAUCAUAUCAACAAUAACAAAUUAGAGUAUUCAAUGUCGAUUGAUUGAUUGAAUAUUAUUUUACGUCCCUCUCGAGAAUAUUUCACUCAUAUGGAGACGUCAUCAUUGCCGGUGAAGGGCUGCAAAAUUUAGGCCUAUGCUCGGCGCUUAUGGCCAUGGAGCAGGGAGGGAUCUUUAUCGUGCCACACUUGCUGUGGCACGGGACCUCGGUUUUUGCGGUCUCAUCAGAAGGACCGCCCCAUUUAGUCGCCUCUCACGAAAGGCAAGGGGCACUGAGGACCUAUUCUAACCCGGAUCCCCACGGGAUUGCAAUGUCGACAUAGUUGCAUGUAUAGUGUUCAAAGAAGUCAUUUUUUGCAAUAGUGUCGAGAAUAAUUUAGAUACUGCAUCAAAUUCAUUCAGUGUCAGUUGAAUCAUUGUCUUCUUCUUGACUAUCAUGUUCUCAUCUGUCGUAUUCCUUGUUUCGGGAUCAAGGUUUGGGUUAUAUAAGUUAUGUCAUUGUAUUUCGAACAUCGUAAACUGUGCGAUUAUGGUUGGCUCCUCCUUUAUGAAGAAAAUGUCCGAAGUACUGUUCCAGUGGAUCCAAAUGAAAUUUGUACCUGUACCCAAUAUGAAUUAUAUGCAUUCUGUGGUUGAGUUUAUAGAUGCUUGUCUGAUGACUAAGCUGCUAUAUAUAGAUGUAUGUCUCUGAUGAAAUGAAUUGAUCUAUUUUUAGAAAUCAUUGUCGAGGAGACGCACCGUUGUGCUAAUAUAUGCAUGCUUUCCUCCGCGUUUCAAUGAUCAUAGUUAACAUAAUCUGUACACUGCUCAAGGAAGUUUUUAAUAAAGACUAUUCAAUUGUCAGUUGUGAAAUAGAGAGAAUCGUUCCGAUAAAAUUUAGGUUUCAGACAUUCUCUUACACAGGUCAGCGGGAUUCGUUUACAGAGUAAUUCUGGUUAAAAUGAAUCACAUCAUGGUUAACACCAAGACAACCCCGAGGAAACAGCCUGAGAAUUGUCCGAUGUGUACAUUUUGCACAUCAAAUCCCGAAGCUCUACUUAAUCAUGUUCUAGAGUGCGGAAAGAAACAACAAGAAAAACAGUUGAAGUGUGAUAAGUGCCCUUAUGUUUCACUGAGAAAAGUUAAUUUAAACAGACACAAAAAGUCUAAGCACCCAAAUGAGAAAACUGAGCAAAAUGAGAAGGUUCCAGCACCUAUAUCUAGUCUUCGUGAAGACUUACAGCUCUCCAGUGACUCAAGUCCUAAUGACACUGAUGCAGAAGAACAGAACAUAAGCAACGUUGUACCUGACAAUAGUGUAAUAAACUUCGAUGAGGAUCCUGAUGAGUCUUCAGCUCGAAGAGAUCAAGUGAGUGAGAGAGAAGCGGAGGUGCAGAAUUCGUUGAUUCUUGGUAGAGUCGUAAGAAAAAGAACAAUGCCUGAAAUAUUCAUUCCUGCAAAGAAAUCCAAGUUCUCAACUGGAAGUAUAAAGACAACGCAUGCUCCCGACGUGAGAAGAAACUCAGGUCAUGGAUGUGAAGUGGAUGCGGUUGUACCAUCUAUCCCUGGACCUUCUCAAGCGCGGUCUGUGAACAAUAAAGAUAAGACACUAAAACAUGUUGCAGUGCAGACUGAGCCAACUCAGUAUAGCAGAGUUGAAAAGACUGUCACAACUAGAUCUGAUGAUGGUACCAUUAGAGUUAGUCAUGUAGUAGAGGAAGAAGUUGUUAUCAAACUGUAAAAGGAACAGUAAUUUUUCUAGUUUACUCAGUUUAAUGUAUAGAUAAUACUCAUAUUUGUUCCUGAGUAAACUGGUUAUAUAAUAUAACAUUUUUUUUCUCCUCAUGUGGUUUAUUCUUUGUUAUGUAGAGAUUUGCUUAAAGUAGUAUUGCAUAUUAUAUUGUACAUGUAUAUUGAUAUAUGAUGAAAAUUUUUGUCUUACUUGAGCUCUUUUGAGAUAAAUGCCAAGAUGUUUUUGAGUUACAGUUAGUAUGAAGAGUUUAGUUAAGUGGAUUCAUAGAAAUGAUUAGAAUGUAGAAAUGCGGGACGCAUUCCUCUUGGGAGGGGGUAGUGUAAUGUAAAUAGUGUUAUUAAAUUUGAAUUUGGCGCCAUUAGUUGGCAUGUGACCUUGACUUCCGCUAUAAGGGUAUAUAAACGUCAUCCCGCUAGCGUCAGCACUUUCAGUGUUAGUUUGGCUUUCGAAGUGUAAAGUUGCUGCGAGAAGAUUUUAGGUAAGCCGACAGUUUCCCAUAAGAGAACGUGGAUAAAGUAUCCUUACUCUCGCGGGAAUAGCUCGACUAGUCCUUAGUGGACAGAUAUAGUGUUUAUCGUUAUAAAAUAAAAGUGCUGAGUAGCUGAGUACUCAUUUGUUGAGCACUCAUUUCACCUUUUUUAAGGCAGGAGGUUUUGCUCAUCCGUUGAGUAAUAUUUUUUCUAAAGUAACAUUUUGUAUAUAGUUGGUUGAUCUUAGUUGAUUAUUUUGAUAGUGAUUUUUAUUAGUGAUUAGUUAGUUAAGUAAUUAAGGGUAAUCAUUUUAUUUUCACGAGAGGAACUCGUUUCGCCGUAUUUGUAUAUUUUGGCAGGCGAUUAUUAGUUUUAUAUAUAAGUAAACAUCAUUAUAGAGUCUCGGUCUCAGUUUAGUAACUGAGGGAUCCCGUAAACGGAAGAGAACACGUUACAAUAACAGUGACCAAUCUCAUUAAGAAUGCGAAAUUAGCAGUAGGACAAACAUGGACUCCUGGAUAUACCAGAUAUGUAAUCAGGUGCCUAAGUGUUAAGCAUCCCCUGUUGACCAGUCACACGACGUGAGCCUUGUAUCUUGAUCGGUUAGACGCCGUGUAUAUUGAUCAGGUAAACGGAGUAAUCCGUAAUCAAAUUCAGUGUGUAUAAAACGGCCUAAGAAUCGGUAUGACACACUUCAAACAGUAUUUGACCCAAUGACAUGCUGUAAUGGCAAACGAUAUCAUUAUAACGACCAUAGAAUACAGUUUCCAAAUACGAAGCAGAUAUGGAAGACUCUGUGGUGUCUUUUAUUUCAAGUUCACUGGGUUAUGUCGAAUCAACGUUUUGAUUGAUUGUAUAAUGUUUAACGUCCCUUUCGAGAAUAUUUUACACAUAUCAAGACAUCAACAUCGCCGGUAAAGGGCUAUUAAAUUUACGCAUGUGCUCGACGCUUACGGCCUUUGAGCAGGGAGGGCUCUUUAUCGUGCCACACCUGCUGUAAACGGGACCUCGGUUUGUGCCGUCUCAUCUGAAAGACCGCCCCAUUUAGUCGCCUCUUACGACAAGCAAGGAAUACUGAGGACCUAUUCUAACCCAGAUCCUCACGGGACUAAAUCAACGUAUAAAUGAAAAGGAGAUUGAUCAUUGUUUGUUAUCUUUACUUUUUCAUUGUUCUGAAUUUUUACGUAUAAAUGAAAAGGAGAUUGA